CCAAUUGAAGUUGCUAAGACUGGAUAGGAAAUAAAAAGGCAUCUUUUUAUUUUUAAAAGACCUUUUUCGGAAGGUAUGCUUAAAGAGGGGCUUGCGUCACAUUAGUUAGUUGGCAGGGUAAAGGCCUACCAAGACUAUGAUGUGUAGCUGGACUGAGAGGUUGAACAGCCACAUUGGGACUGAGACACGGCCCAAACUCCUACGGGAGGCAGCAGUAGGGAAUUUUCGGCAAUGGAGGAAACUCUGACCGAGCAACGCCGCGUGAACGAUGAAGUAUUUCGGUAUGUAAAGUUCUUUUAUUGAAGAAGAAAAAAUAGUGGAAAAACUAUCUUGACGAUAUUCAAUGAAUAAGCCCCGGCAAACUAUGUGCCAGCAGCCGCGGUAAUACAUAGGGGGCGAGCGUUAUCCGGAAUUAUUGGGCGUAAAGGGUGCGUAGGCGGUUUAAUAAGUCUAUAGUUUAAUUUCAGUGCUUAACACUGUCCUGCUAUAGAAACUAUUAGACUAGAGUGAGAUAGAGGCAAGUGGAAUUCCAUGUGUAGCGGUAAAAUGCGUAAAUAUAUGGAGGAACACCAGAGGCGUAGGCGGCUUGCUGGGUCUUUACUGACGCUGAGGCACGAAAGCGUGGGGAGCAAACAGGAUUAGAUACCCUGGUAGUCCACGCCGUAAACGAUGAGUACUAAGUGUCGGGAUUACUCGGUACUGAAGUUAACACAUUAAGUACUCCGCCUGAGUAGUACGUACGCAAGUAUGAAACUUAAAGGAAUUGACGGGACUCCGCACAAGCGGUGGAUCAUGUUGAUUAAUUCGAAGAUACUCGAAAAACCUUACCAGGUCUUGACAUACUAGCAAAGCUAUAGCAAUGUAGUGGAGGUUAUCAGGGAUACAGGUGGUGCAAGGUAGUCGUCAGCUCGUGUCGUGAGAUGUUAGGUUAAGUCCUAAAACGAGAGCAACCCUUGUCAUUAGUUGCCAGCAUGUCAUGAUGGGCACUUUAAUGAGACUGUCAAUGAAAAAUAGGAGGAAGGUGAGGAUCACGUCAAAUCAUCAUGCCCCUUAUGAUCUGGGCUACAAACGUGAUACAAUGGCUGUUACAAAGAGUAGCUGAAACGCAAGUUUAUAGCCAAUCUCAUAAAAGCAGUCUCAGUUCGGAUUGAAGUCUGCAACUCGACUUCAUGAAGUUGGAAUCGCUAGUAAUCGCGAAUCAGCAUGUCGCGGUGAAUACGUUCUCGGGGUUUGUACACACCGCCCGUCAAACCACGAAAGUUGGUAAUACUCAAAAACGGUAGCCUAACUUCUUCGGAAGAGGGAACCGUCUAAGGUAGGAUCGAUGAUUGGGGUUAAGUCCGAACAAGUCAAAAGGG
rnacentral:rRNA from 1 species